CAAGAGAAACAUUUUGUGUCGGCUCUUUCAGGUUUAUGGAAAAUACCAACUGCUUCCAUUCUUGAGGUUUGGGAUUUGCACCAGAUGAAAGAACCCUUGAAACUGUUUGAUGAUCUCCCAAAUAAUUUGUUGCAUUUAGUCCUGAUGAACAACUGUUCAUAACUGGGAGGUCUGUUGAAAAAGAUGGGAUUACUGGAGGAAUGCUAUGCUUCUUUGAUUGAGGAAAGCUGGAGCUAGUGUGAAGAAUAACUCCUACUUACAGUGUUGUGCAGUGUGCCUGGCACCCUAGACUGAAUCAGAGUAGUGAAGGCCGAGCUUGACUUCCCACUUUAUUGUCUCUCAUUUGCUUUUACCUCAAAUCUCAACGGAGUUAUUCGCCAUGGAGAAGCUCUUGCAAGAUUCAGUACACUCAUGACACUUACUGUGAAGAGAGUUUGUGCCACUCAUCCUCGUAGCAUCGCCCAAAGGGUACACUCAUGACAUUUAUUGCAAGCAAGUGGCAUCCAUUCAUUCACCUUAGAGCCAAAAAAUA